rnacentral:miRNA from 4 species
UAGAUAAAAUAUUGGUACCUG